rnacentral:rRNA from 1 species
UGGGGAAUCUUGCGCAAUGGGCGAAAGCCUGACGCAGCGACGCCGCGUGAGCGAUGAAGGCCUUCGGGUUGUAAAGCUCUGUGGAGAGGAAAGAAUAAGGGCAAGCUAAUACCUUGUCUGAUGACGGUACCUCUUUAGCAAGCACCGGCUAACUCUGUGCCAGCAGCCGCGGUAAGACAGAGGGUGCAAACGUUGUUCGGAAUUACUGGGCGUAAAGCGCGUGUAGGUGGCUACGCAAGUCGGAUGUGAAAACCCACGGCUCAACCGUGGAAGUGCAUUCGAAACUGCGCUGCUAGAGUCCUGGAGAGGAAGGUGGAAUACUUGGUGUAGAGGUGAAAUUCGUAGAUAUCAGGUAGAACACCGGUGGCGAAGGCGGCCUUCUGGACAGUGACUGACACUG